rnacentral:precursor_RNA from 12 species
UCAAGAGCCAAGCUUGCACCGACUUCGGUCUAAUCUCAUUUGGUAACUGUGAGUCUUCUUGACAUCGCGAACUGUCAAGCUGACGGUGACAGUUCAGCCACUUGUUAGUUUUGACAGUCGGUCGCGUUCAACUCAGAUUACCAUAUGGGGUUUGAUUGAGGAGUAGGUAUAACACAUCGUGACGU